rfam:Mus musculus chromosome 4, GRC primary reference assembly.
CUACUGGUUUUUUUAAAAACCAACAAAAUGACUCCUAAUGAUAUUCU